GAAAUGCGAUAAGUAAUGUGAAUUGCAGAAUUCAGUGAAUCAUCGAAUCUUUGAACGCACCUUGCGCUCCUUGGUAUUCCUUGGAGCAUGCCUGUUUGAGUAUCAUGAAAUCUUCAAAGUAAAUCUUUUGUUAACUCAAUUGGUUUCUACUUUGGUAUUGGAGGUCUUUGCAGCUUCACACCUGCUCCUCUUUGUUCAUUAGCUGGAUCUCAGUGUUAUGCUUGGUUCCACUCGGCGUGAUAAGUUAUGUAUCGCUGAGGACACUGUAAAAGGUGGCCAAGGUAAAUGCAGAUGAACCGCUUCUAAUAGUCCAUUGACUUGGACAAUACUUUUAUGAUCUGAUCUCAAAUCAGGUAGGACUACCCGCUGAACUUAAGC
rnacentral:misc_RNA from 1 species